AACGUGAACUCAAAUAUCUCUUAUUUAUUACUAUUGCCUCUUUUAUUCACAAUUUUUAGUUUGGGAGUCUCACAAAGAUAUGAAGGUGACAAUUGCAAUUUAGGGACAGUAUCUGGUAAAUGCCGACUUAUACGAGAUUGUCCUUCGGCAAUAACAGCUUUGCAAAAUAGAGGAGAACGACCGCAAAUAUGUGGCUUCUUAGAAACGUUGCCAAUUGUUUGCUGUCCUUCAGAAACAUCAAGUUCUACAAGUAAUCAGAAGCCGAGUUCUAGUCAAAGACCAGGAUCCAAUCAACAAAAUAACCAGAAUGCAGUGUCCAGACCGACU